AUUCUGAAGGAAUCUUCCACAGAGUGCACUCCGUUAUCAGCCUGAUAAACGAAGUACCGGUCAACGUGGUUUCAUCCACAUUCCACCCAACUUUAUCACUGAAAAAUUUCGUGUAAAGUUUCUGUGUAGUUACUGAACAGGUGUAGGUGACAAUCACAACAAACUGGGACAAAAUGUGUGUUGGAGAUUCAUCUUUUGGAUGUUGUGUGCAGUUUGGCCACGUGCUAAGCGAGGUGUGAACAGGAUUCAGUGACAAGUUGCCAAAAGUGUGAAAAGUUGCGUGGCUGUGAUUGGUCUUGUUGUUGUCAGUGCUAGAUUGUACAAAACAGUCUUGUCAGGGUGGAAUUAGUUGACCAUCCGAUUGGGCCCUGUGAUAAGAUGGAGGCCACCUAUUGCAUAGGAACCGACGUGGAUGUUUGCAGGAUGUUCGACCAAUAUUUAUACAAGCGGAGUGAAAAUUUAGAUCUCUCCUUAUCCGUACCUCAUGGCCUGCAUAAUGGCUACACCAUGACUGACCAGACAUUCCACACGCCCAGUUUUGGGGAUGAAGAUUUUGACAUUCCUCCAAUAAAUCCCCAAAGCUCUCAUGGUCAUCCCCAGGCCAAUAUGGGAUCCUAUCACCAAACACCUAUGUCGAUGCCUAUGAGCCAGACCACAGACACCAUGUCAAUGAACAACAAUCACAGCAAUCCGUCAGGUUACCAGCAACCAUUGUACUUGAACCCAUCACAGGAGCACAACCAUAAUCACAACCAUAAUCACAGUCACAAUCACAACCAUAAUCACAACCACAACAGUCACAUGGGAAUUAAUGUCAGUGCGAGUUACAGCACAUCAUCACACCCUCAACCAACCUACUCACAAAUCCACAUGAUGCAUCAGCAUCAACAACAGCAGCAACAACAACAACAACAACAACAACAUCAACAGCAACAACAGCAACAGCAGCAGCAACAACAGCAGAAUCAGCAACAACAGCAACAACACUACAACAUGGGACCACCUUACGUGAGGUCACCACAGGGCAGCUCUCCACCCGGCUCACACACGCACACACACCCGCACGCGACACCCGGUGGUGGAGGAGGUGGAGGAGGGGGAGGAGGAGGACACGAGAACACCACCACCAGUGAGGACAGUGAUGACAGCACCCCUCAUCCUGCCGUCAUGGUGGGAAUGAAGAGACCGUCUCCUGAACCAACCGAUAGUAGUCUUGCCAAGAUUCAGAAGAAGCCCAAACCUCAAAAGAAGAAGAAGAAAAGGGACCCUAAUGAGCCCCAAAAGCCAGUUUCCGCUUACGCGCUCUUCUUCAGGGAUACUCAGGCGGCUAUCAAGGGUCAAAACCCAAACGCGAGUUUUGGAGAGGUGUCGAAAAUCGUCGCAUCAAUGUGGGACUCGCUUGAUGCUGAACAUAAAAAUGUUUACAAGAAAAAGACUGAAGCGGCAAAGAAAGAUUAUCUGAAGGCUUUAGCUGCGUACCGAGCAAGUUUAGUCUCAAAGGGGGCAAGCGAACCAGAAAACAUCUACGGUGGAUAUGGUGGUUACGGAGGGGCAUACAGCGGGUACUCACCCCCCGCGGGACUCCCUUCACCCCCUAUGUCGGCCCCGUCUCCCCAGCAGCAGAUGAACGGCAUGAACAAGAAGCCUCUCAUGAUGCCUGACAAUAGGCCCCAAUGCCAAAACACUCAACAGACACCUCAGAGUAUGAUGGCUGGCAUGAUGGCGAAUCAGCAGCAACAGCAGCAUCAACAACAGCAGCAGCAGAUGCAGCAGACUCAAGUUCCCCCCCAGUCCCCCCAGGGCAACCCGAGCGGCCCCUACAUGCAACAGCAGCAACAACAGUGGUCGUGGUGUUACAGCCGAGUGGGGGGCCCCACCAACCAAUGAGCCCCCACCCCCCUCCAGACCCCACCUCCGCGACUCCACCCAUUAAAUGCUUACGGAAAGGCUGUACCAAUCCGGCAAUCGCCAACCCCGAGUGGGAAGACGAGUACUGCAGUAAUGAAUGUGUUGUAAGCCAUUGCAGAGACGUGUUCACAUCAUGGGUGGCAUCGAAUCAAAGUGCGGGAGCGGGGGCGGGGGCGGUGGCGGCGGUGGCCCCAAGCUAAUGGAGAGUGGUGAGGUGGGAGAUUACUCGUCUCUGCUGCUGGCGCCAAUCUGGACUUUCCUCUAAAUAAUAAUCGUACAAUCAUCAAUCACUCCCUCGCAUAUUAUUAUCAUAAAUAUGUUAGCGACACACACUCGUUCUACUACUGUUCUUUUAAGACAAGUGAACUUCAACUAUUUAUAAAAUGUAUGCUUUAAGAACACUGAACCGUCUUUAGCGAUGAAUGAUACUGUUGAUUGUAAGAUAUUAUAUAGAUAUAUAAUAGUUUCCAACAUUUUUAAAAACAAGUUAAAAUUUCGGGUCUGAGAUUAUAAAUUAUUGUAUAUUUAAUAAGAAAACCAUUUAAUAAAAUGCCCAUCGUUGCAUGUAUAUCCUUUCCGUUUUUUGUUAAUUGAUAUAUAUAUAUGAACAUUUACGUACAAUAUUAUAUAUUUAUAAAGGCUACUACAUACUCUAUUGGUAGCAAUUUGUAGGUAGUAUUGUAUUCUCCUAUCAGAGAUAAACUAUUAUGAUUUGGGAGAUUUCUGAGUGUAAAUUUUAGAUCGAUAAAAAGGUUAAGAAGUGUAUGCUAGUGAAGAUAGCUAGCUGGCUAUUACACGCUCAUGAUUGUUGUUAAUUUAAUUUCAAGUUGAUGUAAAUUAUUAUACAUACUAUAUGAAUAUUAUAUGAAAACUAUUAUAAUGAAAAGAAACCUUUUUUAAUAAUAUUAGAGAAGAAAUAUCGAGGUAUUUAACGGUUACAUAGUAAUGAUAAAAAGAGAAUAUUCUGGUUAAUAUGUAUCGUUGCUGACUGCAAACUGCCUACUAUUAUUAUUGACAUAUUAUUUGUUUAAUACUAUGGAAUACAUACAGUAUUAAAUAAUGUAGCAAUAAUAAAAUGACUCAUUUCUUCUCAUUGUAAAAUAAAUUAGGUGAUAAGUAGUUGUUAAUUUGUUACAUUAUUUUAUAAAUUGUUUUAGUUGUUUGUACGUUCUUGAUAUGUAUUGACUUGUGAAAUUUUUAUGUGAUUGGCAUGUUGCAUUCAGUAACGACCCUGUAUACAAAUAUUAGUAGGUGUAGGCAAUAAGAAGCAGAUAAGAACAAUGUAAAUUACUUGGUUAUGGCUAUACGAGCUGUUUGUGUGACACCCAUCAGUCGACUUCCCUCGCCUCUUCUUACCACCACACAGAGUGAUACUUUCAGAAUUUAUGGUACAAAUAAUGCUCUUGUUGAUUUUUAGUAAAUUUCACCAUUUUAUUUUGUUACCUUUUUUCUGAUAAGCUAUUUUAUCUCUGAAAGUAAGAUCUCUUUUAUGAACGCGUCACCGCGCGAAAGAAGAUUCGCGUCUCAUUUAUCAUCUACAUCUUAAUUGUCUUUUUGACUUGGAAACGCAUAAAAAACGCGUGCGUGAAAAUGAUCUGAUAUUGGAAUGUUUCUCCUAUAUAGUCAGAAACGUAUCAACUUAGCAUCAUUAUCAUGUUAGUUGCAAUAUUUACAUUUUUGUUCCGAUUAUUUCCUUUGUAGUAUCCUACAAAUUAUUUUCGAAUUAUGAAUUUGUUUAGAUAAAAGCUACACAUUCUUCUAUUCAAUAUUAUCGAAAGAAGAAUGUAACUUGUAUAUAAAUAAAACUAUGAAAGAUA
rnacentral:misc_RNA from 1 species